UACGGGGGGGGCAAGCGUUGUUCGGAAUUACUGGGCGUAAAGGGCGCGUAGGCGGCCUUCUAAGUCAGACGUGAAAUCCCUCGGCUCAACCGAGGAACUGCGUCUGAUACUGGAAGGCUUGAAUCCGGGAGAGGGAUGUGGAAUUCCAGGUGUAGCGGUGAAAUGCGUAGAUAUCUGGAGGAAUACCGGUGGCGAAGGCGGCAUCCUGGACCGAGAUUGACGCUGAAUGGCGAAAGCUAGGGGAGCAAACGGGG
rnacentral:rRNA from 1 species